rnacentral:misc_RNA from 1 species
UCGGUUGGUCGGAUCCCUGCUUGUGCAGCGACGACCGCUCUUACAUCCCUUUUCAUUCUUGCUCCAAGAGCGAUAUGCCUUGGACCAUUUCGGUUGCCUGUGUUGCAUACCUACGUUGAUGGAAUUCGCUUGUCCAUUCACCAUUUAUUCACCUUGUGCUGCUUACGCGGUGCGGGAUGAACCGUGCAGUGUCCUUUGUUGUCCGUUCUUGACUCGCGUUCGCGCGGCGCAUGAAAUGGCCAAUGUUGCGACACUCGAAUUCUCGGAUACGGAACCUUAAGCGGGCAACGGGUCUUUGGCCUUGAUUUGCCCAAACUAAGCGUUCUCGCUCCUUAGGAACGACUGUCGCGCCCGUUUUGACCUUAGGAUACUUUCGGUCCGAUUGGCUCAUGCGGUGCCGACGUCGAAGAGGAAUGCUAC